rnacentral:rRNA from 1 species
AUGGUUCGAGAGGAGGUAGCAGGAUCCACUCAAACACUACAGUGGAAGUGUGUUGAAUCAAGAGUAGAUAGUAAGCGCCUUUAUUAUGGCCGUUUCAUUCUGUCCCCGCUUAGAAAAGGUCAAGCGGACACCGUCGGUAUUGCCUUGCGAAGAGCUUUACUUGGAGAAAUAGAAGGAACAUGUAUCACACGUGCAAAAUUUGGGAGUGUCCCGCACGAGUAUUCUACAAUAGCAGGUAUUGAAGAAUCCGUACAAGAAAUUUUACUAAAUUUGAAAGAAAUUGUAUUGAGAAGUAAUCUCUAUGGAGUUAGAGACGCAUCCAUUUGCGUCAAAGGUCCUAGAUACAUAACUUCUCUAGAUAUCAUCUUACCGCCUUCCGUAGAAAUCGUUGAUACGGCACAACCUAUAGCUAACUUGACAGAGCCCAUUGAUUUCUGUAUUGAUUUACAGAUCAAGAGAGAUCGUGGAUAUCAGACAGAACUCGGAAAGAACUAUCAAGAUGGAAGUUAUCCUAUAGAUGUUGUAUCCAUGCCUGUUCGAAAUGUGAAGUAUAGUAUUUUUCUUGUGGGAAUGGAAAUGAAAAACACGAGAUACUUUUUUCUAAAAAUAUGGACUAAUGGAAGUUUAACCCCUAAGGAAGCACUUUAUGAGGCUUCUCGUAAUUUGAUUGAUUUAUGUCUUCCUUUUCUACACGCGGAGGAAGAGGGCGCUAGUUUCUAA